AAGCAGCAAGAGAAAAGAAGACGAUUACCUACAAAUCAGCUGAUAAUUCCCAUAAGACUUCCAGCUGAUUUCUCAAAAGAAACCUUACAGGCAAGAAGGGGCUGGAAAGAAUUAUUCAAAGUCAUGAAAGGCAUUUUCCACUCUGAGGCAACACCACCCCACAGAAUCCCAGAAGUCCCAUUACUACAGGUAAGAAAAAAAUUGCACUGUAACACCACCUACUGGAAAACAAAAGAACUCUACUUAUCAACUUGUUCAAGGGUAAAGGCAACAAGUACUUUAAAGGCAGAGAAAUAAUACAUCAUGUACUAUGAACAACCAAGGAGAUGAGGUAGAUCUGAAAUAAAAUAAAAAUCUCCAGAAAGUAAACUCAAAGACAUGGAAUAUUGUGAUUUAAAUGACAGAGAAUUCAAGAUUGCUUGCUGCUGUGAAUAAAGAUACAAAAAACUUCAAGCGAUACAAGAAAACUCACAAAGUCAGUUCACUGAGCUCAGAAAUAAAAUCAACAAACAAAAUAUGUACUUUAUGAAAGAGACUGAAACUGCAAAAAGGAACCAAACAGAAUUUUUAAAGCUGAAGAACUCAAUAAAUGAGAUGACAAAUGAAUUAGAGAACUUAGGAAAAUAGAGCAGACAGGAAGGAAGAAAGAAUAGUGAUAUUCAACAUAGAAAUCUACACAUGACUCAGAUGGAAGAAGAGGGAGAAUUGAGAGUAAAAAAUAAAACAUGAAAGAUCUCUGUGAGAACUAUCUGAAUACAUUAGAAAUAGCAAUGUGAGAGUAUAGGGUAUAUCAGAAAAAGAAAAUGGAGAAUGGAAUAGAGAGCCUGUUCAAAUAAAUAAUAGAUGAAAACAUCCCAAACAUAUAGAAAGAGCUGGACCUUGUAAUAUAAGAAGUUAACAGAACCUAUAAUUAUCUCAAUUCAAAAAGACUUUCCCCAAAACUCUCAGAAUUUUAUGACAAAGAGAAUUCUCAAGGCAUCCAGGGAAAAGAAGACUGUACCAUACUAUGAAAACCCCAUUACAAUAACAUAUCAGAUUUUUUUUUCAAGAGAAACUAAACAGUACAGGAGAGAGGGGAAUGAAAUAUUCAAAAUAUUGAAAGGAAGAACUUACCAGCUAAGAAUAAUAUAUCCAACAGUAUUAUACUUUAGAUAUGAAGAAGAAAUAAAGGCUUUCCCAGAUUUAAAAAAGAAAAGAAAAGAAAUUUACCAUCACAUAAUCUGUAUGAUGGAAAAUAAGGAUAUUCUUUUAUCUGAAACAAAAAGACAAAAGGAUACAAAACCGUGAGCAAGGUGACUGACAGCAACACGAAAUUGCAACCCUUGUUCAGAGUAGGACUUAACAAUAAAUAUAACACAAAGGUUAAAGUAGGUAAAGGCAUUUUUGUUUUCAAAAAGAAAACAGCUUAUACAGUUCAGAAAUGAAUGCAUGGCAAAAAA